UGUUCGCUUCGCACCCGAUUCUCCUUGCACGUAGAAGUAUAUUCGCGUUUUUGUAUGCUGUGAAUAUUCGUACGAAAUAGCCAUCGCUCUGAGACGCGCGCGUUAGAUCUUUCUCUCACUCUCUUGUGGAGUGGUGUGAUGACAUGAAGUUAGCGACGGCGAGUCUCUCUCGGGAGCUUCGUUCGUCCGCUGCAACGUUCAUGUCGUUUGUACGCGUUUCCCUUCGCGUGACGUCAUCGAUGUCGCGGCGGAGUUUUCUUUGCAUGUACGUCCGAGUUUUUGUGAGUAAUCUGCAGUAAGAUAAACGUUCGGAUGAGACAGCGAGAUCGCUCUGAGACGCGCGCGUUGGUGUUCUUGCGGGACAGAGUGAAAGAUCCAGGUGAUUGACAGGAUCUGAGAGGAGGCGGAGGCCCGGGAGGCAUCGGGCAACGGCGGAACCCUGUGGUCAACGUGGCGGUACGACUCCGCUGCUGCGCAUCGUGUGAUGUCGGUGAGUGAGAAAUUAUAACGCUUACAAUUAGAUUGGAAUCGUGAAUUCAUGUAAGAUAUUUAUGCAAAUGUAUAUUUUGCGUAUACGUAUUAAGUUAAAAACAUUACAAAUAUAAUAUAAAAUUUUAUGGAUUCAAGAUAAAUGGGUUAAAAUAACGUAUAUUAAUGUUCAUUUCCACCAAUGUAGAUCAACUUUGAUCUCAAUUUAACUUACUCAUUAUCUAUUUCUAAUUUUUAGAACUAGAAAAGAAUAAAGAGUGAAUUGAACUGAGAUCAAAGUCAAUCUACAUUGAUGAAAAUGGACAUAAGAAGAACCAAGAGAAGAACUAUUAUUAGCUUGACUAAAGUCUUCAACUUGAUUUUUUUCACUUGAACCAUUAUUGUAUUUAUGUAUUUCAUUUAAAUAUGUAUUUGAGUUAAAUACUUGAACUUCAGUUUAAUUUAUAUUUAAUUUAACUACAUGUAUAUUUCACUUAAAUACUUGAACUGAAGAAAAUCAAUCAGGUUGAAAAAUUUAGUCAAUUUAAUAACUUUUUUUCUCAGUGUAAAUACUUAAUCCUUUAAAUGAUAUGGUCUUCUAUUACAUAUAAAUGGAAAUUUUUUUUAAUAAUUUCAUUAUUCUUAGGUAAUUUUAAACUAGCUUAAUGUUAAGCCAACCCCAUUCAAUUUUUUUUAAUUUUCUUUGGCUUUCUUAAGCCAAAGAGUUCAAGCACCUAAUUAGCAUUUAAUUUUAAAAUAUUUUAUGCUGAUAGAGAGGGGAGGAGCUAGCUUAAUAGAGGUUGAUACCAGUAUAAGGAUAUAAGGUGAUAAAUAACUCUGGCUACUUUCCGAUAUACACUG